rnacentral:lncRNA from 1 species
AAGAAAGAAAGAAAAACUUUCCAAGCAGGCCUUAAAGAAAUGGAAGCUGAAAGAAAUUUGGUGGUGUGUUUGUUACUGUUUUCUAAGCAUAAACUUGGCACUUGAAACUGUGUAAACAAAAUAAAUAAUUUAAGUCCCUGCCUAUUUUGUCUGUUUAAUACUUAAAAUGACUAACCAGGGGCAGUCCCUUCCCUGUCCCAUGGGCGUGGGGAGCUUCCGUGACAGAAUGCAGUUGAACGGAAUACCCCCAGUGACUCCCUUCCUUUCUUCACAGGGUACCCAAAGCAGAGGACCUCAGCUCCUCGAAAUGAGUUCCCACCCAAGCCUGACCUGCAGGCCCGGGAGGCGGAGCGGCAGCUGGCCCAGCGACUGCGGGACAGGUGUGAGUGGCAGGCCAGGCAGCUGGGUCUGGCUCGAAGGGAGCUGAAGAAAGCCAUCCAAGGCUUCGACGCCCUGGCUGUCUCUACUAAGCAUUUCUUUGGAAAGGUGAGGCUGUGUCUGUGAAUGUUUACGGGUGCUUGAACUAACGAUGGGCGUUGGGAAGUGUGUGUGGUAUUAGGGUUUGGGGCUAGAGUGGAGGCGUGUUGGUCCUGUGGAAUCUCCUGCAGCAUUCUAGAAUAUUCCAGGAGCCCAGACCUCGCCGGGAAAAAAAAAAAAAACUAGUCUAAAAAGAAGAAUAAGUCACCUUGAUUACCAAAGAGAAAGGUGGGCCGCAAAAGGAAGAAGAAAUACAGAGGACUUGAAGAGCAGACAUUGCUGCUGAGGGGAAAUUUACCCAGGCAGGCCUGAGGGGCAUCCUCCUCUGAGCCCUUCAGCAUGGGCUCUAGAGGGCGCUCUCCGGAUCACUGCUUCUCUAGAAAUGCAGAAUGCUGGUUCCUUGUCACUGGAGGGCUGGCGUCUGCUGGAUGCGAAGGUUGUGUCCGAGGGUGAGAGGGAGGGUUUACUUUGGAGAUUUGAAAAUGAUGCCAUCCUUGGGGGUGGGGGGUGUGGAAGACAGGGAACGGGGUGGGUGAUUGGGCAGGCAGGCGAGUGAAAUGUCUUAUGCUGACUGGCUCUCUCAGGAACUACUCUAUGGGAAUGGAGGCAGACAUGAAUUCUUUUUCCGAGGCCCCCCUUCCGCAGUACCUGGGCUAUCACAUUUCAGUGGGAGGUUUUGGAGGAUCAGCCACACUCAAACCCUAGCAACCCAACCGGUGAGCGCUCUGAGCUCCCGUUUGUUGUUUGUUGGCCUCGUGGUGCCUAGAAACAGGAAGAUGUAAAAGUACCGUAUCAGUGCCUCCCCAGGAAGAAGGGGAAGUGCCUACCUCUCUAGCUAAUUUCAGGUCAGUAAAACAGGACAUUAAGUUCCACGGUGUACAGCAUUUCUUCCUUGGUCACCUGAGCUGCACUGUACGGGGGUUCUGUGCCCUUCUGUCCUCUCCCUGCCCUCGUGUGCAGAAACCCAACCUGCUCGUUGUUCUCUCAGUCUUUUUGUUUGUUUGUUUGCUGAAAGCUGUUAGCACAGUCACCUGCCGAUCUGUUGUUUUGGGGGGGUGGCCAGCUACAUGGAUAGCUGCUCAAAUUCAUUUGUACCAAGAUUCCAGCCUCUUCCGAAACUAAGAACUGUCACACCAGCAACGAAUGAUCAAUUUAGAUUCCCCAUGUUUUGGACUGGUGGUAUUGGUGUCAACAAAGAGUUAACAAGUAUCUACAGUCUAUUCCUAUACGAAAGAUAAAAGUUACAAAUGCAUCUUUGAGAUUUCGUGUCUCAAAACCAUGACACUUCUAGGAUGCUUGUCCUACAGAAGGAGUGGAUAGUUUCCCUUUGGUUGUAUACAGACUUUUCAUGGACUGUCAAAUCUUCAAUAGAAAAGGAAAUAAGGUGUGUGCUGAACCUUGAGCUACAGUUACACUGUGACACUACCUGCCUAGGCUCCUCUUUGCUGAGCUGGGUAGUUAUAGUUACACUGUGACACUACCUGCCUAUGGCCCACGUGGCCUCCUCAGUGUGGCACCAAAGCCUUGAUGAUUGUUUCCUAGGAUCACAUCCCAGGGCACUGGUGGAUUCUUUGAAAAGUUAAACCUUAUGAUACCAUAGCAGGUAAGAAGCCGAUGUGCCAGAAUUAAGGCUCCACCCGCAUAGUUUUGCAGUUCUCUGCCUCAGAAAAACUCUUUGCUGACCACAAGUUGCUUUCUUCCAUGGCACGCACAAGGCUGUUCAGUUAGAAGCCCAGUAGGGCUAUCCCCAUAUAGCCCAUAGCCUGCUGAGCAGCAAAGGUGUGUGUGUGUGUGUGUGUGUGUGUGCCGUUAUCCCUGAUGUGUGUGGCCUUCCUGCUGCAUGCCUCUGGGCACCUCUCCACUUCUGAUAGGACAGAUGCUGCUUCUUUGUAAGGUCAUCGUGCGGAUGUAGUGAAUUGAUGGGUAAAGGCACGUCACGGGAAUACUUAGGAAUGGUCUUCUGUGAGAGCAAGGAAAACCACUUUAUGGGUCCUGCUCUCAGUAGGGAUUAGACAUGUAUGACGUGCGGGCAGUGGACACUAAUCCUGGCCACUUAGCUCUCAUUACACAGGUCAUAUGUCCCUGGUUUGAUGUUUGAAAUAUGAAAUGUUCCAACACCUGAAACCUUUUGAGGACUGACAGGGCACAAGUGUGAAAUCCCACACUGGAGCUUCUAAGACUGGCUGCACCUUUAAAACAUUGUAUAAACUUACCUCUAUCUUAUGCUUAGAGAGUGAAGAAUCUCAAAUGCAUCUCAUGUUCAGACUUGGAUCCCAUCCCGAAGAAAACUCAUGUACACUAUAAAAACAUUCCCAGUUCUAAAGCAAAAAAGGAAAUAUUUCCAUCCCCUAUCGUUAUGAAAAAGGGAUACUGUCUCUUUAUAUACAACGGUGGUUUGGCUGGUCUAGUGAGUUCAGUUGCUGUAGUCAAUUUUUCCUGAGUGUUGAAUGUAUCUUGAAGGGCAUACUGGAAAUUCAGCUCAUCACUGGGAACAUCGGAGCUCAGAUAGACUCCCUGUCCUGGUAGAAUAAUGGUGAAAAUUGUCAGCUCUGACAGCCUCAGCCCAGAGCCCAGGGAUUCUGAAACGCCACGCUUAGGUGCCAACAUAGCCUCACACCUGCCUGACCUAACAGCUCUGUCCUUGCAGCCAGUCAUGUUCCUCAACAGGCAAAGCAGGCCUUCCAACAAAGGGGAGAAAAAAAGC